UUUGUACUCCCUCCGUCCCAAAAUUCUUGUCUUAAAUUUGUCUAAAUAUGGAUGUAUCUAGUUACAUUUUAGUGUUAGAUACAUCCGUAUCUAAACAAAUGUAAGAUAAGAAUUUUGGGAUGGAGGGAAUACUAC
rnacentral:pre_miRNA from 1 species